rnacentral:rRNA from 1 species
AAUGGGUCAGCGACUUAUAUUCUGUAGCAAGGUUAACCGAAUAGGGGAGCCGAAGGGAAACCGAGUCUUAACUGGGCGUUAAGUUGCAGGGUAUAGACCCGAAACCCGGUGAUCUAGCCAUGGGCAGGUUGAAGGUUGGGUAACACUAACUGGAGGACCGAACCGACUAAUGUUGAAAAAUUAGCGGAUGACUUGUGGCUGGGGGUGAAAGGCCAAUCAAACCGGGAGAUAGCUGGUUCUCCCCGAAAGCUAUUUAGGUAGCGCCUCGUGAAUUCAUCUCCGGGGGUAGAGCACUGUUUCGGCAAGGGGGUCAUCCCGACUUACCAACCCGAUGCAAACUGCGAAUACCGGAGAAUGUUAUCACGGGAGACACACGGCGGGUGCUAACGUCCGUCGUGAAGAGGGAAACAACCCAGACCGCCAGCUAAGGUCCCAAAGUCAUGGUUAAGUGGGAAACGAUGUGGGAAGGCCCAGACAGCCAGGAUGUUGGCUUAGAAGCAGCCAUCAUUUAAAGAAAGCGUAAUAGCUCACUGGUCGAGUCGGCCUGCGCGGAAGAUGUAACGGGGCUAAACCAUGCACCGAAGCUGCGGCAGCGACACUAUGUGUUGUUGGGUAGGGGAGCGUUCUGUAAGCCUGCGAAGGUGUGCUGUGAGGCAUGCUGGAGGUAUCAGAAGUGCGAAUGCUGACAUAAGUAACGAUAAAGCGGGUGAAAAGCCCGCUCGCCGGAAGACCAAGGGUUCCUGUCCAACGUUAAUCGGGGCAGGGUGAGUCGACCCCUAAGGCGAGGCCGAAAGGCGUAGUCGAUGGGAAACAGGUUAAUAUUCCUGUACUUGGUGUUACUGCGAAGGGGGGACGGAGAAGGCUAUGUUGGCCGGGCGACGGUUGUCCCGGUUUAAGCGUGUAGGCUGGUUUUCCAGGCAAAUCCGGAAAAUCAAGGCUGAGGCGUGAUGACGAGGCACUACGGUGCUGAAGCAACAAAUGCCCUGCUUCCAGGAAAAGCCUCUAAGCAUCAGGUAACAUCAAAUCGUACCCCAAACCGACACAGGUGGUCAGGUAGAGAAUACCAAGGCGCUUGAGAGAACUCGGGUGAAGGAACUAGGCAAAAUGGUGCCGUAACUUCGGGAGAAGGCACGCUGAUAUGUAGGUGAAGUCCCUCGCGGAUGGAGCUGAAAUCAGUCGAAGAUACCAGCUGGCUG